rnacentral:rRNA from 1 species
GAUGAACGCUAGCGGCAGGCUUAACACAUGCAAGUCGAGGGGCAGCGCGAUGUAGCAAUACAUUGGCGGCGACCGGCGCACGGGUGCGUAACACGUAUGGAACUUACCCUUUACUGGGAGAUAGCCCGGAGAAAUCCGGAUUAAUAUCCCAUAAUAAACGAAGUGGCAUCACUUUGUUUUGAAAGCUCCGGCGGUAAAGGAUGGCCAUGCGCACGAUUAGCUAGUAGGUGAGGUAACGGCUCACCUAGGCUACGAUCGUUAGGGGGCCUGAGAGGGUUAUCCCCCACACUGGUACUGAGACACGGACCAGACUCCUACGGGAGGCAGCAGUGAGGAAUAUUGCGCAAUGGAGGCAACUCUGACGCAGCCAUGCCGCGUGCAGGAAGAAGGCGCUACGCGUUGUAAACUGCUUUUAACCGGGAAGAAACCCUCCGACGUGUCGGAGGUUGACGGUACCGGAGGAAUAAGCACCGGCUAACUUCGUGCCAGCAGCCGCGGUAAAGUCGA